rnacentral:ncRNA from 2 species
CACUCUGGAGAGAUCCUGACCACAUCAGGGCGCCGAAGGGAUAACGAUCUCAGGCAAAGGGACAGAGGG